ACAAAACGCACAUUUUCUUAGUUCUCAAAAGAAUUUCGAAUAAGUUGAAAAAGAUCCGAAAAUUACAAGUGUCACUCCAGUUAUAUAAAUCAAUAUCUUUAAAAAAUGAAAUUGAUUUUUUUACUGUUCACUUUUGUGCCAUUGUUUGUCGCGAUAGAGAACGAAACAUAUUUUGGCAAACUGUUGGAGUCUGAUUUGCCAAAAUUCUGUUUUCAUGCAUCUAUUUUACUUGAAGAGGGAGAUACUCGUUGCAACGGAGCAAUAAUCUCUUCCACGCAAAUUCUAACUUUCUUCAAAUGUAUAAGAUAUUGGGAUUGUCCUCCUAGAGAAGGUCCCUCUCAUUGAUAUGAGUCAAAAAAUAUAUCGGUGCGAGUCGGUUCAUUAGAACGAUUUAAUGGGGGAAUUAUUAGACAAGUAGCCAGUUUUAAACACUUACCCUAUCAACUUAACGAUCAUAUAGCAGAAAGCAGUUGGUACAAAGAAAGCACUCGAAUUGAAUUUGAAGAUGUGGCAAGCCUUGAUUUGAUUGUGUUUACACUCAAAGAGCCAUUACCAUUGGGUCCAACGAUUUGCCCAAUACGUUUAGCCGAAAAGAGAGACAACAUUUUUGUAAAAAUUGGAGCCAAUGUUGAAAUUAUUGGCUGUGAUACCAGCAAAAAAGAAGCAACAAAAACCAGAGAGUUGCAUUGGAUAAAAAAAACGAUAUCCAAUGUCACUGAAACAUGUCCCCGAUUCUAUUUCCCUAGAGAAGGCAUAUUAUAUAAUAUAGAGGGAGCUCCGUUGAUUGUUAGAAGAAAAAACAAUUUAUUUCCUAACGGAGAACCAUUGCUAUUAGGAAUAGUGUCAGAUGGUGACACAAUUUACACAUCGUAUAACGGAGCUGUAAAAAUUUCGGCAUUUUCCAGAUAUAUAAUGGGAAACGAAACGAUGCCUAUGGGUAGAUGCUGAAAAACUCAUUCAAAGAUUAAUUCUAAUAAAUAGGUUAAAUUUAUUAAUAUUAUUAUUAUCAACAUUUGAUUAUGUACGAAAUUUUUGUCGUUUCAACUCCGCGUAAAAAAUUUUUCUAUUAGGUUGUUAUACCAUAUCGUACCAACUCAAUAAAAAAGAAUUUUAACGAUUGUAUAU